AGGCUGAGAGGGACGGCCCACCCAACAGAAGCCACAACAGGUCCCCAAAGAAUUUCUGCAGGCUGGGACUCCUGAGUGAAAUGAAGAAGUGGGAUUCAACAGAGAGAAAUGUGAAGUCUGCCAGCUAGCCCUGAGAAGCAGGCAUGACAAGAGAGGAUGCCCGUGUUACAGAUGAGAAAAACAGAGGCCCUGGGAGGAAGCUUGCCUAAUGCCACUCAGGAGGUAGAGGCAAAGCUGGGAAAGGCCCUGGGUCCCCAGACUGCCCCUCUGGAACUCCACAUGCAGCCACCUGGCUGUCCUGCCCGGGAUGCCAUCCGCAGGCUAGGCUGGCGCUCAUGCCCAUGCCCUGCUGUCCACUGACACCCCGCAGAGCUUAACACCCCGCUGAGCCUGCCCUGCAGCCCUUGCCAAGUCUGUCCGAGUGGCCUCAGUCAUUGGCAAGUCACAUUGCUGACAUCGCAACUGCAUAAAAUUAAUUUAUUUAGUUAA
rnacentral:lncRNA from 1 species